CCGCACUACCUCACCGUGCCCUCGGACAAGGCCCUUUUAGUUUCCUUCUGGAAUCCUCAUUUAUUAUACCUGGACACAUGAAACCACCUGUGGUUCCCCGCCACAAGAAACAAAAAUGCAGAAUGUGAGAGAGCAAAAAGAUGUGGCAAGCUGCAACAGCAGUUGAGGUCAUCCUGAAUUACGGCCAUCACCAUGGACCCUUCACUCUUUCGUCCCCGCAUCCCUUCAGCUUCAAGCCGAAGACGGGCCAGGCGGUUACUAGCCUUCCUGGCAGCUUUCGAAGCACUUUGGGACCUGGGAGCUGUCCUGUCCGGCCAGACCCCUGACCCCUGAUUUCUACAUCAGCACUGGUUCGACGCCGUGGAGGACGGGCAGGCAAAGGACCCUCAGGAGAGGAGGUGGCUGAAGAUGAGGUUGAUGGGGCUGUAACCUCAGCUCUAACAAGUUCUUGUGGCUUUUCUGAGUUGGAAA
ensembl:antisense Gm28198 predicted gene 28198